GAACUGACCCCAAAUUCCACAGAAUCAGCCCCAAAAUCUCAAGAACUGACCCCAAAUUCCACAAAAUCAGCCCUAAAAUCUCAGGAAUUGACCCCAAACUCUCAGGAACUGAUCCCAAAUUCUGCAGAACCAGACCCAAAUUCUCAUGAAAUGACCCCAAAUUCUCAGGAACUGAACCCAAACUCUCACAAACGGACCCCAAAAUCCUAACCCCAAAUUCUGCAGAAUAGGCCCCAAAAUCUCAGGAACUGACCCUAAACUCUUGGGAACUGACCCCAAAUUCCACAGAAUCAGCCCCAAAAUCUCAGGAAUUAACCCCAAACUCUCAGGAACUGAUCCCAAAUCCUCCAGAAUUGGCCCCAAGUUCUCAGGAACUGACCCCAGAUUCCACGGAUGCGGCCCCAAAUUCCACAGAUUCAACCCCAAAUUCCACGGCCUCGGCCCCAAACUCUCACAAACUGACCCCAAACUCUCAGGGCCGGACCCCAAAUUCUGCAGAAUCCACCCCAAAUUCUCCACCUGUGACCACAACGGAUCCGGGUUCAGGGUGGGACAGGGAUGGAGGGGGAUGGGUUGGGGUGGGGGUGGGGGCAGAGGGAGCCCCCCCCUCCCGCAUCGCCGCCCCCCCCACGAUGUCGGCGUCGACGGCGCUCCUUCAGAUUCUCCAGAAACGGUUAAAAAAUAAAUUACGGGUUUGUUUUUUUUUUUGUGUGUGUGUGUGGAUGUUUUCGUUUUUCCUCUCCCUUUCCCCUCCGCUUCGGGGCCGAGGCGCCGCUAGAACUCGUCGUGCCGCACCAGCGCCUCGCCGAAGUCGGUGGCCUGGCUGCCCACGAACAGGUCGUACUUGGCCACGAUCUCCUCCCGCGUCAGGCGACCGUCCUGGGAGACAGCG
rnacentral:lncRNA from 1 species